UCAAACUUGGUCAUUUAGAGGAAGUAAAAGUCGUAACAAGGUUUCCGUAGGUGAACCUGCGGAAGGAUCAUUUAUGAGCGAGCCGAAAGGCAAGCAUAAUAUCCAUAACACUGUGAACUGUUGGCCUCGGCCAAAUUUUUUACAAACUUUGUGUAAUGAACGUAAAAUACUAUAAUCAAUAAAACUUUCAACAACGGAUCUCUUGGCUCUCACAUCGAUGAAGAACGCAGCGAAAUGCGAUAAGUAAUGUGAAUUGCAGAAUUCAGUGAAUCAUCGAAUCUUUGAACGCACCUUGCACCUUUUGGUAUUCCGAAAGGUAUGCCUGUUUGAGUGUCUUGAAACCUCACACUCUAGAGUUUUCUCUAGAGACGUGGAUUUGGGUGUUGCAAUUUGCUCACCUUGAAUGACUUAGUGGUUCCUACCGUAGCCUGAUGUAAUAAGUUUCAUCUGGUCAAGGGAAGACUGCUUCUAAUCGCCUUACGGCACUAUUUAAGACUAGACCUCAAAUCAGGUAGGACUACCCGCUGAACUUAAGCAUAUCAAUAAGCGGAGGAAAAGAAACUAACCAGGAUUCCCCUAGUAACGGCGAGUGAACCGGGAAGAGCUCAAAUUUAAAAUCUGGCGUCCUCCGGGCGUCCGAGUUGUAAUCUAUAGAAGUGUUUUCCGUGGUGGACCGUGUCCAAGUUCCUUGGAAAAGGAUAUCAGAGAGGGUGACAAUCCCGUCCUUGACACGACAACCAUUGCUCUGUGAUACACUUUCUACGAGUCGAGUUGUUUGGGAAUGCAGCUCAAAAUGGGUGGUAAAUUCCAUCUAAAGCUAAAUAUUGGUGAGAGACCGAUAGCGAACAAGUACCGUGAGGGAAAGAUGAAAAGCACUUUGGAAAGAGAGUUAAACAGUAUGUGAAAUUGUUGAAAGGGAAACGAUUGAAGUCAGUCGUGUUGAAUAGGUUCAGCUAGCUCUGCUAGUGUAUUCCUUUUCAACGGGUCAACAUCAGUUUAGAUUGGUGGAUAAUGACAAGGGAAUGUGGCUCUUCGGAGUGUUAUAGCCCUUGCUCGCAUACACUGGUUCAGACUGAGGACUGCAGCUCGCCUUAAUGGCCGGGGUUCGCCCACGUUCGAGCUUAGGAUGUUGACAUAAUGGCUUUAAACGACCCGUCUUGAAACACGGACC
rnacentral:rRNA from 1 species